GCAACUCGCCUGCAUGAAGUCGGAAUUGCUAGUAAUCGCGGAUCAGCAUGCCGCGGUGAAUACGUUCUCGGGCCUUGUACACACCGCCCGUCACACCAUGGGAGUCGGUAACACCCGAAGUCUGUAGCCUGACGCAAGAGGGCGCAGCCGAAGGUGGGAUUGAUGACUAGGGUGAAGUCGUAACAAGGUAGC
rnacentral:rRNA from 1 species